rnacentral:rRNA from 1 species
AUGGAUAUGGACUUUGAAGAUGCACGGAAAGAAUCCAUUGAGGGUUCAUAUGCGAUGUUGCUGCAAGGGGACAAAAACUCACAACAUAAAAAUGUCGAAGAGGUUAUAUCUCAUAACAAACCAAAAAAGGAUGCUAAUUUACAUGUUAUCUCACAAGACUAUGUUUGUACCCCUAGGGAUAUUACAGUCAUCGAAUCAAUCAAGUCUGCCCCCAAGAAUACCCAGUUCGUGGACAUUGGAGAUGCCUUGUUAUCAACCGACGAUUUGGAAUGCCUUAUGAAAGAUGAUAUGUUCUUACAUGACGGUGUGAUAAAUGCUUACAUAUAUUGCAUGCUUGCUCACGACCAUCUACAAAACAGAGCGGGUGAAAAGCGUAUCAUAUGGACUGUUUAUGCUAAAUUAUAUGGAAUACUGGACAUCACAUGCACUGUCAGACCAAUUCACCCAGAGCUGAAUAAGCUAAAAGGAGGUCCCAUAUACCAUCAACCUGACGAUCAAGAAAAUUUAGCUAAUUCUGAUCUCGAGAUACUGGACAAUCCAUCUGACGUAGUCAAAGACAAACGUCCUGCACCAAUCACUAUCAUACCCACGGACCAACGUGAAUUACUUGCCGGCCUCUGCAACUACAUCAUGUCGAUCGAUGAUGCCGGUUGUUUGGAGAAGGUAUGGGUCCGGAGCUCGACACCCGAUCCAAUGGGCUUAAGUCUUAAGAAACUUCAGUGCAUACUUAACAUAGAGGAGCCCAUGGACAAUGAUUGCUUCAACACAGCCGUGCGUAUGCUGGCAUGUGACGAGGGAGUAUUGUUCACAGACCCUCCUGUGCACUACAUGGAUCUACGAUUUUGUUCCAUGAUGCUAGAGUCAACACGAGGUCAGAAGUUUUGCGAGAUGAAAACUAUCCAGACGUUGGCAACAUUAUUUGAUAGCUGGUCUGGGAUGGACAAUGACAUCUCAUCGUGCAACAAGGAAUGUGUCUGGCUAUUUUGUUUUUCAUUUUAUGCUCUGGUGGAACGUAGGGUCCCGCUCCUGGCAGCGUGGUUGGAGCGCUUCGGCGCGCUGGACGUGGCCAAGGCUGUCAUGGCGGAUGUCCCGAUGAGGCUGGUCGAGCUCGCCAAGAUGAAGCGGGGGGAGGCCGCGGCCGCAGCCGCGGCUGGAGCAGCAGCAUCACUGCCAUUUGAUUGUUAA